UAAUACUAUUUGAAAAUGAUUAUCAAUACCAAAUAGAACAUUCCCCCCCCACAUACGUUUCGUUCAAAAUUGGAUUGGUCAUUUUCAGAUAUUCCCCUUUUAUAUGCCCGUAAAAGACUAUAUACGUUAUAACAACGUUUUUAUAAAAGCAGUAAACCUUAUGACACUUUAGGUUUACUGCUUUU
rnacentral:ncRNA from 1 species